AACGAACGCUGGCGGCAUGCCUAACACAUGCAAGUCGAACGAGAUCUUCGGGUCUAGUGGCGCACGGGUGCGUAACGCGUGGGAAUCUGCCCUUUGGUUCGGAAUAACAGUUGGAAACGACUGCUAAUACCGGAUGAUGACGAAAGUCCAAAGAUUUAUCGCCAGAGGAUGAGCCCGCGUAGGAUUAGCUAGUUGGUGUGGUAAAGGCGCACCAAGGCGACGAUCCUUAGCUGGUCUGAGAGGAUGAGCAGCCACACUGGGACUGACACACGGCCCAGACUCCUACGUGAGGCGUCAGUGGGGAAUUUUGGACAAUGGGCGAAAGCCUGAUCCAGCAAUGCCGCGUGAGUGAUGAAGGCCUUCGGGUUGUAAAGCUCUUUUACCCGGGAUGAUAAUGACAGUACCGGGAGAAUAAGCUCCGGCUAACUCCGUGCCAGCCGCCGCCGUAA
rnacentral:rRNA from 1 species